CGAUAACGAACGAGACCUUAACCUGCUAAAUAGCCCGUAUUGCUUUGGCAGUACGCUGGCUUCUUAGAGGGACUAUCGGCUCAAGCCGAUGGAAGUUUGAGGCAAUAACAGGUCUGUGAUGCCCUUAGAUGUUCUGGGCCGCACGCGCGCUACACUGACAGAGCCAGCGAGUACUCCCUUGGCCGGAAGGCCCGGGUAAUCUUGUUAAACUCUGUCGUGCUGGGGAUAGAGCAUUGCAAUCAUUGCUCUUCAACGAGGAAUCCCUAGUAAGCGCAAGUCAUCAGCUUGCGUUGAUUACGUCCCUGCCCUUUGUACACACCGCCCGUCGCUACUACCGAUUGAAUGGCU
rnacentral:rRNA from 1 species